UUUCUGGAGGUACAAGAUGCCAGCAUUUCUUGAAAAACAUUGAUCAACUGCCUUCAAUAUGCUACUCUGAUUCAAGUUCAUCUAAGACAGAAGAAUAACAAAGAAAUUAAUCAAAAUGAGAUCUACACCAUUUACUCUGACCUAUCUGAAUCAAUGCAAGAUGAAACAGAGCACAAUAUUUAAGGGAAGGAGGACAAAUCUUAUCGGCAAACAUGCCUGCAGUGCAUUCCAGCCUCCCAAGAAUGUGACUCUGGGAAACAGACUUUAUUCUCAGCGAUAUAUAUUCACCUACCCAGCAGUUUGCUACACUUCUGUGCAGGGAGAAGGCAUCCAAGAUGGCUCAAAAUUGCACAACAAGUCAUAAAGUGUUCUGGGGAUAAGCAGUCAGUUCUGAAAAACACCUUACAAGAUAAAGUCAUAUUAAAGCUAUUUCACCUGAUGGGCUCAUGCUGGCUUUAACAGAACUGAUACACUGGAG